UCAGAGACCAGUGCUGGCGGGUGCUCCAUAUGCUGAGCGCCGGUCCACUGGGCCCACUGUUCUUUCUCUAUACUUUGUCUCCGUCUCUUAUUUAUUUUCUCAGUCUCUCGUCCCACCUGACAAGAAACACCCACAGGUGUGGAGGGGCAGGCCACCCCUUCAUCACUGAUUGGCCGGGCGCAGUGGCUCACGCCUGUAAUCCCAUCACUUUGGAAGAUCGAGGAAGGCAGACCACCUGAAGUUGGGAGUUUGAGACCAGCCUGACCAACAUGAGACCCAUAAACACGGUUAUGAAACGAGGCUUGUUAGUGCUGUGCUUGCCAGCAGGGGCCACUGUUUUAUUCUGUACCUCCUGAUCCCCCCUCCACCCACACCGCCCUGGAGCAGCUCUGUGGAAAAAGUGGAAUCAGCUUAGAGGUUUUCGGGAGGAAGACACUGAAACGUAAACGUUAUAAGAAAGUGACGGUGCACAAACACACGUGCCUCAUCUCUGUGUCCCUCGGAGUAGACGGGGGGAAUGUGCGCAGAUGCGAAGUUCUUGCUGUCAUUUUCGUGAUGAAUAGUAAAAUAUAUAUUUUCUCAGAUCCAG
rnacentral:lncRNA from 1 species